rnacentral:rRNA from 1 species
AGCGAACGCUAGCGGCGGGCCUAACACAUGCAAGUCGAGCGCAUACCUUCGGGUAUGAGCGGCGGACGGGUGAGUAACACGUAGGUAAUCUACCCUUUGGUGGGGAAUAACCCGGGGAAACUCGGGCUAAUGCCGCACGAGGUCUACGGAUCAAAGCCUUCGGGCGCCAGAGGAUGAGCCUGCGUUGCAUUACCUAGUUGGCGGGGUAACGGCCCACCAAGGGGACGAUGCAUAGCUGGUCUGAGAGGAUGAUCAGCCACACUGGGACUGAGACACGGCCCAGACUCCUACGGGAGGCAGCAGUGGGGAAUAUUGCGCAAUGGGGGAAACCCUGACGCAGCUACGCCGCGUGGGUGAUGAAGGCCUUCGGGUUGU